rnacentral:RNase_P_RNA from 1 species
GAAGCAGGCCAGACCGCCGCUGGUGCGAGCGGGGAAACCCGGCACUGGAGGAAGGUCCGGACUGCACAGGGCAGCGUAGCAGGCAACACCUGUCCGGCGUGAGCCGAGGAUCAGAGCAACAGAGACGAGUCGUUGCGGGGCAUGGCCUCGCAACGGGUGAAACGGGCAAUCUCUACGCGCAGCAACACCAAGUAGGCCGGCUUUGAUGCGGCCCGCGGAGCCGGCGGGUAGGUGGCACCGAGCCGGGCGGGCGACCCCCGGCCCAGAGGAAUGGCGGUCACGGCGUCGGCCCGCAAGGCCGGCGACGCACAGAAUCCGGCCUAUCGGCCUGCUUCACAC